rnacentral:rRNA from 1 species
GUCGAGCGAACAGACGAGGAGCUUGCUCCUCUGACGUUAGCGGCGGACGGGUGAGUAACACGUGGAUAACCUACCUAUAAGACUGGGAUAACUUCGGGAAACCGGAGCUAAUACCGGAUAAUAUAUUGAACCGCAUGGUUCAAUAGUGAAAGACGGUUUUGCUGUCACUUAUAGAUGGAUCCGCGCCGCAUUAGCUAGUUGGUAAGGUAACGGCUUACCAAGGCAACGAUGCGUAGCCGACCUGAGAGGGUGAUCGGCCACACUGGAACUGAGACACGGUCCAGACUCCUACGGGAGGCAGCAGUAGGGAAUCUUCCGCAAUGGGCGAAAGCCUGACGGAGCAACGCCGCGUGAGUGAUGAAGGUCUUCGGAUCGUAAAACUCUGUUAUUAGGGAAGAACAAAUGUGUAAGUAACUAUGCACGUCUUGACGGUACCUAAUCAGAAAGCCACGGCUAACUACGUGCCAGCAGCCGCGGUAAUACGUAGGUGGCAAGCGUUAUCCGGAAUUAUUGGGCGUAAAGCGCGCGUAGGCGGUUUUUUAAGUCUGAUGUGAAAGCCCACGGCUCAACCGUGGAGGGUCAUUGGAAACUGGAAAACUUGAGUGCAGAAGAGGAAAGUGGAAUUCCAUGUGUAGCGGUGAAAUGCGCAGAGAUAUGGAGGGACACCAGUGGCGAAGGCGACUUUCUGGUCUGUAACUGACGCUGAUGUGCGAAAGCGUGGGGAUCAAACAGGAUUA